AGAGCUGAGAGAUGGGAUAUCCCUUCAUAGCAAAGAACAUUGCAUUGUGAAUGCCAAGUGUUGAUAACUCUGUAUGUGCACCUAUUUUUUUAUAGUAUGGGAUUCCUUCUACUGAAGAUCUUGCAACUCUGGAAAUAUUACACAGGCUUUGCAGUAGAAACUGUCAUAUGCCAGAAAUUCAGCUGAAUGCUUCUUGGAUUUCUCUGUCUGAACACCAUGGAGAUGAUGUCUGUCACAAUUGUACAGCUGCUGCAAGUGAUGGUGUGAUAAUUUCCAAAGCUGUUUGUGACUGAAAAUUAAAUGAAGUUGUGACAUACCUUUAACAGUCUUACUUCAGUGACCUAAACUACUUACCUCUGAGAGGUCUGUGAAGAAUACAACACUUACUGUUCUGUCAGGUCUCUGCAACAUGAUUCUUACACUGAGAUGGAUAUAUUUAAGAGAGCAAACAAGCAAACCCUCCUCCAAAGAGAAGUGAACAGGGGUUCCACAGCCCCAAGACCUGCAGCUGGACAUUCUUGCUUGCUGGGCUCAGCAUCGCUAUGGGCGUGA
rnacentral:lncRNA from 1 species